rnacentral:rRNA from 1 species
CUACGGGGGGCUGCAGUGGGGAAUAUUGGACAAUGGGGGCAACCCUGAUCCAGCAAUGCCGCGUGUGUGAAGAAGGCCUUCGGGUUGUAAAGCACUUUCAGUGGGGAAGAAAGGCUUAAGGUUAAUAUCCUUAAGAGUUGACGUUACCCACAGAAGAAGCACUGGCUAACUCUGUGCCAGCAGCCGCGGUAAUACAGAGAGUGCAAGCGUUAAUCGGAAUUACUGGGCGUAAAGCGCGCGUAGGUGGAUGUUUAAGUCGGAUGUGAAAGCCCUGGGCUUAACCUAGGAACUGCACCCGAUACUGGGCAUCUAGAGUAUGGUAGAGGGAAGUGGAAUUUCCGGUGUAGCGGUGAAAUGCGUAGAUAUCGGAAAGAACACCAGUGGCGAAGGCGGCUUCCUGGACCAAUACUGACACUGAGGUGCGAAAGCGUGGGGAGCAAACAGGAUUAGAUACCCGCGUAGUC